rnacentral:rRNA from 1 species
GACGAACGCUGGCGGCGUGCUUAACACAUGCAAGUCGAACGGAAAGGCCUGCUUUCCCUUGUGGAUUGCGGGUACUCGCGUGGCGAACGGGUGAGUAACACGUGCGUGAUCUGCCCCCAACUUGGGCAUAAGCCUGGGAAACCGGGUCUAAUUUCCGAUCGGACUGCAGGGUGGUGCCUGUGGUGGAAAACGAUUCUCUAGUUGUUGGGGAUGAGCUGGCGGCCUAUCAGCUUGUUGGUGGGGUAAGGGGCUACCAAGGCGGCGACGGGUAGCCGGCCUGCGGGGAUGAACGGGUAGAGUGGGACUGAGACACGGACAAGAGUCCUAGAGGAGGCAGGAGGGGGGAAGUGGGGGAAAUGGACGAAAGGCGGAAGGCGGAACGCCGCGUGGGCGAUGACGGCCUGCGGGUUGUAGAGCUGUGUUAACCGUGACGAAAGGCGGACGUGCGCAUAGUGAGAAGGAUUGACGGGAACGGAAUAGAAAGCCACGGCUAACUACGUG